CCUACGGGGGGCAGCAGUAGGGAAUCUUCCACAAUGGGCGAAAGCCUGAUGGAGCAACGCCGCGGGGGUGAAGAAGGUCUUCGGAUCGUAAAACCCUGUUGUUAGAGAAGAAAGUGCGUGAGAGUAACUGUUCACGUGUCGACGGUAUCUAACCAGAAAGCCACGGCUAACUACGUGCCAGCAGCCGCGGUAAUACGUAGGUGGCAAGCGUUAACCGGAUUUAUUGGGCGUAAAGGGAAUGCAGGCGGUCGUGUAAGUCUGAUGUGAAAGCCUUGGGCUUAACCGGAGUAGUGCAUUGGAAACUGGGAGACUUGAGUGCAGAAGAGGAGAGUGGAACUCCAUGUGUAGCAGUGAAAUGCGUAGAUAUAUGGAAGAACACCAGUGGCGAAAGCGGCUCUCUGGUCUGUAACUGACGCUGAGGUUCGAAAGCGUGGGUAGCAAACAGGAUUAGAUACCCUUGUAGUC
rnacentral:rRNA from 1 species